UACAGAGGGGGCAAGCGUUAUUCGGAAUUAUUGGGCGUAAAGGGCGCGUAGGCGGCAUGGCAAGUGGAUGGUGAAAUCCCUCGGCUUAACCGAGGAACUGCCGUCCAAACUGCUUCGCUUGAGACCGGGAGAGGCGAGUGGAAUUCCCAGUGUAGCGGUGAAAUGCGUAGAUAUUGGGAGGAACACCAGUGGCGAAGGCGGCUCACUGGACCGGUACUGACGCUGAUGCGCGAAAGCGUGGGGAGCAAACGGG
rnacentral:rRNA from 1 species